AGGGAUGUAGUUCAGUGGUAGAGCAUUUGCCUACCAUGCAUGAGGCCCUGGGUUCAAUCCUCAGUACCACAA
rnacentral:tRNA from 1 species